CCUGAAGGAAAAAGGCACACAGCAGGAAGCGCUUUUGGUUCCAGCUACUUACUCAAUGAGGUCAUAAUUUCUGGUGUUCUGAGGGAAUGCUGCACGUACAGGCCCUCCUUCAGCUCUGUGUGAGGCCAGGAGAACUGAGAGGUCCCUCAUCAACAGCCUAUCAUGCCUGACAUGUCCAUCACAACCCUGCCUCUUGCUUGCUGUUAGCCAACACUGUUCUCCACUCUGCCUCUUUCUCGGUUGUAGAAUGGCCUUUUCUCUGGGUAUAACACGAUCAUCCCGUGCCACUUUGGAGUAGAUAUUUUCUUGGCCCAGUAGCCAUGGCAACUGAUUGAGCAGCAUAUUACAGGGACAGCUAGGUCUAUGGUAAUGGUAACAGAACUACUGACACUUCCUGGUAGAAGGAGGAGAGAUUCUGGCCUUUCCUCUGUCCCCUCUCCUCUCAGCUACAAUUGAUCUUGAGAGAUCAGUUAGUGAAAAACUAAUUGAAAAGCACUGCUUCAUGAUGCUGCUUCUCUGAGGCCAUCAUCCAUGAAGGGCAGGACUUUCUAGGAAUGAAGCUGGCUUUGGGUCAUCCAUGAUCCUAAAAGCAACUCUUCACACAUGCUAAGUUGGCUAUGGAUGCAAUUGGUACCUUGGUUAAUCUAUCUGGGGUAAUAGGUUCGUGUUUCACUAGGAAAAGCUUGCAUGUUUUUGAUGGUAUGGGGACAGCUGCUAUGGGAGAGCCAUACCAUCUCCCAAGAUCCUAUGACAAAAUCUCUGUCUAUCUGAUGAACUGUCUGAGACUUACUUCCAGUCCACCCUCUUCCUCACCCGAUAAGGAGCUGCAUGUGUACACUACUUCACUCCAUAAUAGACUCUGCAUCUCUUCUGUGCCUUGUAUGUCAAAUCUGAAUUCAUUCCACAAAAAUCAAAAGGAUGGAGGAACCCGGGGAUCCUGGUAUCAAAGUCACUGCCACAGCCCAGGCUGUGCCUAUCCUCACCUCUCUGCUGAACUGGUGGAAGUAGGAUGGAAUGGUCACUGUGGAGACACCUUCAGUAAGGAAACCUGUGGGACCAGUUCCUGGAUAAAGAGAAUGGAUAGCUUCCACUUGCUUCUUACUAGAAUGGAGUUCCCACUAGGUUUCACACACACGCAUUACAGCUGUGACUGUCAGAGUUGAUUCCCACCGGCAUCUUAGAACUGGGAAGCUGAAUCUGUUACUGUAAGUUUUCUGAGAAAGAAAUAUUUUUUUGGUACAUUGGUCAAAAGUCAAAUCAUUAAUUGCCAACCAAUAAAGGCAAAACCAUUGGGAAAAAUAAUUAUUAA
rnacentral:lncRNA from 1 species